rnacentral:rRNA from 1 species
CAGUAGCCGCGGUAAUACGCAGGUGGCAAGCGUUGUCCGGAAUUAUUGGGCGUAAAGGGCUCGCAGGCGGUUUCUUAAGCCUGAUGUGAAAGCCCCCGGCUCAACCGGGGAGGGUCAUUGGAAACUGGGAAACUUGAGUGCAGAAGAGGAGAGUGGAAUUCCACGUGUAGCGGUGAAAUGCGUAGAGAUGUGGAGGAACACCAGUGGCGAAGGCGACUCUCUGGUCUGUAACUGACGCUGAGGAGCGAAAGCGUGGGGAGCGAACAGGAUUAGAUACCCGUGUAGUCCCUGUCUCUUAUAC